rnacentral:rRNA from 1 species
GUGGGGAAUAUUGGGCAAUGGGGGAAACCCUGACCCAGCAACGCCGCGUGAGGGAAGAAGGCUUUCGGGUUGUAAACUUCUUUUACCAGGGACGAAAAAAAUGACGGUACCUGGAGAAUAAGCCACGGCUAACUACGUGCCAGCAGCCGCGGUAAUACGUAGGUGGCAAGCGUUGUCCGGAUUUACUGGGUGUAAAGGGCGCGUAGGCGGGAGAGCAAGUCAGGAGUGAAAUCUAUGGGCUUAACCCAUAAAUUGCUUUUGAAACUGUUUUUCUUGAGUGAUGGAGAGGCAAGCGGAAUUCCUAGUGUAGCGGUGAAAUGCGUAGAUAUUAGGAGGAACACCAGUGGCGAAGGCGGCUUGCUGGACAUUAACUGACGCUGAUGCGCGAAAGCGUGGGGAGCAAACAGGAUUAGAAACCCCAGUAGUCC